rnacentral:rRNA from 1 species
CCUACGGGAGGCAGCAGUGGGGAAUCUUCCGCAAUGGGCGAAAGCCUGACGGAGCAACGCCGCGUGAUCGAAUGAAGGCCUUCGGGUUGUACAGAUCUGUUGACAGGGACGAAUAAGCAAUGCGAAUAGUUUUGUGUAUGACGGUACCUGUUUAGAAAGCUCCGGCUAACUACGUUCCAGUAGCCGCGGUAAUACGUAGGGAGCAAGCGUUGUCCGGAAUUAUUGGGCGUAAAGGGCGCGUAGGUGGGUGCUUAAGUCAGGUGUGAAAAUUUCCGGCUCAACCGGGAGACUGCACUUGAAACUGGGUGUCUUGAGGGCAGGAGAGGAAAGUGGAAUUCGUAGUGUAGCGGUGAAAUGCGUAGAUAUGAGGAGGAACACCAGUGGCGAAGGCGACUUUCUGGACUGCACCUGACGCUGAGGCGCGAAAGCGUGGGUAGCGAACGGGAUUAGAUACCCUGGUAGUC